rnacentral:rRNA from 1 species
GACGAACGCUGGCGGCGUGCCUAAUACAUGCAAGUUGAGCGCUGAAGGUUGGUACUUGUACCGACUGGCUGAGCAGCGAACGGGUGAGUAACGCGUGGGGAAUCUGCCUUUGAGCGGGGGACAACAUUUGGAAACGAAUGCUAAUACCGCAUAAAAACUUUAAACACAAGUUUUAAGUUUGAAAGAUGCAAUUGCAUCACUCAAAGAUGAUCCCGCGUUGUAUUAGCUAGUUGGUGAGGUAAAGGCUCACCAAGGCGAUGAUACAUAGCCGACCUGAGAGGGUGAUCGGCCACAUUGGGACUGAGACACGGCCCAAACUCCUACGGGAGGCAGCAGUAGGGAAUCUUCGGCAAUGGACGAAAGUCUGACCGAGCAACGCCGCGUGAGGGAAGAAGGUUUUCGGAUCGUAAAACUCUGUUGGUAGAGAAGAACGUUGGUGAGAGUGGAAAGCUCAUCAAGUGACGGUAACUACCCAGAAAGGGACGGCUAACUACGUG